rnacentral:rRNA from 1 species
UACGUAGGGGGCUAGCGUUGUCCGGAAUCAUUGGGCGUAAAGAGCGUGUAGGCGGCCCGGUAAGUCCGCUGUGAAAGUCGGGGGCUCAACCCUCGAAUGCCGGUGGAUACUGUCGGGCUAGAGUGCGGAAGAGGCGAGUGGAAUUCCUGGUGUAGCGGUGAAAUGCGCAGAUAUCAGGAGGAACACCGGUGGCGAAGGCGGCGACCUGGGCAGAUACUGACGCUGAGGUACGAAAGCGUGGGGAGCAAACAGG